UACGUAGGUGGCAAGCGUUGUCCGGAUUUAUUGGGUUUAAAGGGUGCGUAGGCGGUCUUAUAAGUCAGUGCUGAAAUAUCCCGGCUUAACCGGGAGGGUGGCAUUGAUACUGUAGGACUUUGAGUAAAGUUGAGGUUGGCGGAAUUGACGGUGUAGCGGUGAAAUGCUUAGAUAUCGUCAAGAACACCUAUAGCGAAGGCAGCUAACUAAACUUUAACUGACGCUGAGGCACGAAAGUGUGGGGAUCAAACAGG
rnacentral:rRNA from 1 species